GAGGAAUAUUGGUCAAUGGGCGUAAGCCUGAACCAGCCAAGUAGCGUGCAGGAUGACGGCCCUAUGGGUUGUAAACUGCUUUUAUGCGGGGAUAAAAGAGCCCACGUGUGGGUUUUUGCAGGUACCGCAUGAAUAAGGACCGGCUAAUUCCGUGCCAGCAGCCGCGGUAAUACGGAAGGUCCAGGCGUUAUCCGGAUUUAUUGGGUUUAAAGGGAGCGUAGGCCGCCACUUAAGCGUGUUGUGAAAUGCGGGUGCUCAACAUCCGACUUGCAGCGCGAACUGGGGGGCUUGAGUGCGCCGAAAGUAGGCGGAAUUCGUGGUGUAGCGGUGAAAUGCUUAGAUAUCACGAAGAACUCCGAUUGCGAAGGCAGCUUACUGUAGCGCAACUGACGCUGAUGCUCGAAAGCGUGGGUAUCGAACAGGAUUAGAUACCCUGGUAGUCCACGCGGUAAACGAUGGAUGCUCGUUGUUGGCCCUUAUGGUCAGUGACCAAGCGAAAGCGUUAAGCAUCCCACCUGGGGAGUACGCCGGCAACGGUG
rnacentral:rRNA from 1 species